rnacentral:misc_RNA from 1 species
CCUAUUUCUAUUUUUUUUUUUUUUGACAGCUUCUUUUUCUUCUCCUAUAUUUUUGCCAAAACCCUUUUUCUUUUUUAGUUUCUUUUCUUCUUUCUCAUUACCUACAUACUUUUGGCAAACACCAUGGAAUCUCCACCACUUCCUUUUCCUCACGGCUCUCCACUAUGGAUUAGCCCCCUUGCCAUACAACUACCCAACCCUGAAUCCCCUCCUCCAUAACCAACCUCCACCCCAUCCACUUAUCAAAGGAAAAGACGCUCAAAAAGAACUCAACCAACUUCUUAUUCUCCCCCAUCCACAAAAUGAAAUAACCCACCAACUGCAACUCAACCUUCUGAACCUCCACCAAAGAACCCCAAGAUUGCUGCUACGAAAUCAAAAGCAUUUAGCACUUGCACCAAAGAACCUCCACAAAUUGUAUUCUACUUCAUUCUUCACCAUUUUUGUACUUCUUCUAUCGGGUUUCUUUAG